ensembl:lncRNA
CUAUAUAGGAGGAGACCAGUCAGUCUCUUUAUAGUAGGAGACCAUAUCAGACUGGUGGAUCCCAGUCAGUCUCUAUAUUGUAGGAGACUAGAGAUCAGAGUCAACCCCGCCCUCCGUCUCUAACCCCGCCCUCCAUCUCUAACCCCGCCCUCCAUCUCUAACCCUGCCCUCCAUCUCUAAUCCUGCCCUCCAUCUCUAACCCCGCCCUCCGUCUCUAACCCCGCCCUCCAUCUCUAAACCCGCCCUCCGUCUCUAAACCCGCCCUCCAUCUCUAAACCCCGCCCUCCAUCUCUAACCCCGCCCUCCAUCUCUAAACCCGCCCUCCAUCUCUAACCCCGUCCUCCAUCUCUAACCCUGCCCUCCAUCUCUAACCCUGCCCUCCAUCUCUAACCCCGCCCUCCAUCUCUAAACCCGCCCUCCAUCUCUAACCCCGCCCUCCAUCUCUAAACCCCGCCCUCCAUCUCUAACCCCACCCUCCAUCUCUAAACCCCGCCCUCCAUCUCUAACCCCGCCCUCCAUCUCUAAACCCCGCCCUCCAUCUCUAACCCCGCCCUCUGUCUCUAAACCCGCCCUCUAUCUCUAACCCUGCCCUCUGUCUCUAACCCCGCCCUCCAUCUCUAAACCCCGCCCACCCUGUACCAUGUCACCCUUACUGGGUCACCAGCAGUAUGCAUGUACAUGAUGAUCAUAUAUCAAGACAAUAGAUCCGUAAACGUGUUAUUUAUCAGUAGGGAGGAGCUUCCUGUUUCUCCUUCUAUUCUACCCUGUUCGAUCUCACUGCGGGGAACAGAAGAGACUUUUGAUUGGAUGAUGAGACAACGUUUGUUUACUAGGAAGUAAAAGCCUGGCGUCAGUCUGACUGACCCCCCACCAUGUCAACUAGUUUGACCCCUGAACUUUAGAGUCAGAGUUGUCUCCAGCUAUAGAAUCUCCUGUCAUAUUUAUAAUUGAUCUAGAGGUGUUUUUAUUUAUUAACAUAGUAGUCAAUACAAUUUGAUAGAAAAUCAUUAUAAUAAAGACUUUAACAGAUGAAGAGUUUGACAGAUGGAUUUGAAUCCUCAGAUUUAUUUCUUUUUAUGAGGAAUUGUUUUGGACUAUUUGCAUGUUGCUGAGGAGAAGAACAAAAGAUAUAAAAAAAAAAAAAAAAAGAUAUCCGGAUGUUGUUUUUUUACAUUCUUUUGAUAAAUGAAAAUGUCCAGAUGUUUCCGAUGUUUGUAGACUGCCUAUCUAAAUGUACUGGGCUCAGUUUGAUCGGUAACGGGGCUGUAAUACUGAUUUAAACAUGAUUUAUUAUUGUCCAAUGCAAGAUGUGCUGGGUGUGGUUUUAGUGUGUAUCUACUGAGACCGUUGGUUGGAUACCGGCCAAGCUGUCACAGAGAGGGAACCAUGGAAACAGGUUGUGGGUGUUGUUUAUCUCAGAACCCCAGAAGUCAGAUGUUGAGCGCUUCCCCACCUGAUCAGUCCACUAGUUACCCUACACGUUAUUUCCAUAGAAUCUGAUGUGUGUUAAAACUCAGUAUGAAAUAAACCCUAAUAAAGAUUUAUUACAUAACGGAUGAUGAGGGUGAUGAUGAUGAUGAUGAUGAUGAUGAUGAUGGUGAUGAUGAUGGUGAUGAUGGAUCUUUGGCAUUGAGGUGAAUCUGUGCUCCUAUCUGAUAAAAUACUAAUUAUAACGAGACUGAGUGUUUUUAAAAACCGCACCAGCAGGCUUCAGGACGUUCUAGAACCAGGCUUCAGGAAGUUCUAGAACCAGGCUUCAGGAAGAUCUAGAACCAGGCUUGAGGAAGUUCUAGAACCAGGCUUCAGGAAGAUCUAGAACCAGGCUUGAGGCCGUUAUAGCUGUGAUGGAACCUGACCUUCAAUCUAUCAGGAACCUUGUCGUUUUAACUCUUGAGAGACUGGAGGAGAUGGAGGAAGAGGAGGAGGGUGUGUUUUCUA